CAGAAGGAUUGGGAUAAGUACCAUUGUGAAAUAAUAAGGUGAUAUAUAGUAUCUGGUGUUCCAUCAAAUUUCCACUGUGUUUUAUGUCAGUAUUGUAUUCUGGGUUGAAAAAAAUUUCUUUUAGGAUAGAGAAUGUUUCAAGAGAACUAGUAACAGUUUCCAAUAUUCUUCAGGGACAUAACCAUCAAUCCAUUAUACAUUAAUAAUUAUAAUUAAUGAAGAGCAUAGCCGUUGAUAACCUCCUCAUGAUAACCAAAGUCAUGAGCAAAAUUUGACAGAUGACAUAUAGGCAUAGAGAAUAUGACAUGGUCAUAGAGAAUAUGUUGUGUAUAGCACAGUAUAAAUAAGGGGCCACGUCCAUAUUCAUGUGGACACAAAUAACGUCGAAUCAACGUUAAUAUUUCACCCACCCAACCCAGAUGUCGAUCGGAUCGAUAUUCAGUCGUAUUUUGACCGAUAGACUCACAAUUAUUGUACUUUACUACCGUCAUUGCAUGGCUGGGAUUGUAUUUUGAUACAAUAUUUAAACAGUGAUUUGGUUUUCGCCGGAGUGGCAAUAAACAAUACAAGUGAACCAAGAUAUAGCCGUUCUCAAAAUUAAAAUGUCCAUAAUACAUGUCAUAUUCUUGUUGGUAGAAGUUGGCAACCAUGGUAAAUAUUUAUAAAACAAUCUUUUAAUGGUGACCUUGUUUACAUGAUAUGUCUACUGACAGUCUACGAAAUUAGAAAAGUUAUGCGCCUGUGGAGGUUCCGUUGAACUUAGCCUUCAGCCUUCUGCAUAUAGCCUAUAUAUAAGCGUAAGAUAUUUGGAAGUAUAGAAGAAACAGAAUAGCAUGUUAAAAUCUUACCA